CCUACGGGGUGCAGCAGUGGGGAAUAUUGCACAAUGGGGGAAACCCUGAUGCAGCGACGCCGCGUGAGUGAAGAAGUAUUUCGGUAUGUAAAGCUCUAUCCGCAGGGAAGAAAAUGGCGGUACUUGAUUAAGAAGCCACGGCUAACUACGUGCAAGCAGCCGCGGUAAUACGUAGGGGGCAAGCGUUAUCCGGCUUUACUGGGUGGAAAGGGAGCGUAGACGGCAGCACAAGUCUGGAGUGAAAUGCCGGGGCUUAACCCCGGAACUGCUUUGGAAACUGUGCAGCUAGAGUGCAGGAGAGGGAAGUGGAAUUCCUAGUGUAGCGGUGAAAUGCGUAGAUAUUAGGAGGAACACCAGUGGCGAAGGCGGCUUACUGGACUGUAACUGACGUUGAGGCUCGAAAGCGUGGGGAGCAAACAGGAUUAGAUACCCGAGUAGUC
rnacentral:rRNA from 1 species